GAUUAACUUAAAAAUCGCAAGUAUUCAUACUUAGCGAUAUCGAUGAGAUGGUAGAUAAGACGUUCCUCUGCCACACGUGUACUGGCUUCAUGCUGUAUGAGUUCCAUAGAUUUACGAACAAUU
rnacentral:snoRNA from 1 species